ensembl:lncRNA
CUCUAAAAAACCACUUCGUUGUGCUUCCCAAGCUGAUACAGAACAUUUGCAACAUAGCAAAGUGAGCCCAAGACCGAUUUCUUAUUUAAGGUUCAGAGUCUUGAACCCAGAUGCCUGAGCAUCAGUAGAGGGAAAAAAAGCCCAAAUGCAUGGAAUGGGGAGCACCUGGCAGCCAUUGCACAGCAAUCACACUCAAGAAAUCAGAGCAGAUAAGAAGGGUCUGCUCAGGGUUACCUCCCUCAGCAGCUCUGCAGGCAGUGGGGCAUGUCAUACUCAGCCCGUGAGCUUUGCAGGGUGCAGCAUCUCUUCUGAGCUGCUCCUGGAGCACUGCUCCUGCAGGGCCUGCUUUGCUGCCGGGAAGAAGCACCUCACAGUGUGGAUGCAGUGAUAGGCAGAGAGGAGCUUCUGCACGGUAAAAGUGCCCCUCCUCAGCGGGCUCUUGUUUUCAUUAAGGAAAGUCCCUACCUUGCAGAAGUGCUGAAUAUUCAGGUGUCUUCAGGGACCUUGGGAUCACCUUGCCAUCAGGUUUGAAAGGCUCGCUAACAAGCUAACAAAAGGAAUAACAGCCUAGAAAUGCAAAGGUUUUCCUUACUUGCCUCGCUAACGCGUUAUGUCUGUAAUGAUGCUGUAGCCAGAAAUUACUCCCCAUUUGUACGCUUACUCCUGUGUCUGAAAACUUCCCCAUGCAGGAGCUUAUGCUCUGCUGUGGUUUAAUGCCCUGGUCUGGCUGCUCGCUGCAGACCUACUCUGCGCUGGUUUCUACUGAGACACUGAAGAAAACAGACUGCCCCUCUUGCUGAUGCUGCACAACGUUUGAGGACUUGCGGUCACUGAGGAUGUGAGUGUAACAAACCAGAGGACAGCUGCAGAGAUUUGUGUUUUCUUCCCUUGCCAGGAAAAGCCGGAGUGCAAAAACACCUAAGGCCUUCCUGGAGAAAGCUCUAUGGAGUAGAAGCACUGUAGAUGAGUGAUAUUUCUUCAACCAUCUGCUCCUUCCGCACUCACACGAGGGCAGGCCAGCUCCAUGUGAGUGCAGCAAUAGUGGGAAGCUGCCCUGCGGACCUUGGGAUUUUUCUAUUCCUAGUCAAGGGAGAAACAAACUUUCUUUCCAGUUUUGGAUUUGUCUGCCCAUUGGUUUCAGCUACAUCAUGUGAACAAGACGGACUCAGCUUUACUGCCCAAGAUAGGCAAUAUGUGUGCAGUAGAAGUACACUGGAAAUUCACCUGAAAGCUGAGUAGAAUUUCAUCACUUCAAGUCAAUCGUACAGAUAUUAUCUUCCUUUUAAAUAAAGAGGGAUAAUAUUUUUAAAUGCACCUCCACAGCUUAUAAUGAUCAGUGCAAUUCCUUAUGUGCACUUGCUUUACAAAGUGGAAGAAAACACCCAUUUUUUGUCUAAUUAUAGCUCUGGAGUUGCUAACUAGCACCUUCUCUGAGAAACAGUUGCCUGUGAUGAGCUUUGCAAGAAGAGAGAUGUUGAGAUGGUUUAAAAAAUAAUAAUAAAAAAGAGCAUCUGAUAUCUAUCAAUAUGGAUUAUUACAGCUUGCCAUUAUUUAGUUUGGAACUGUGACAACUGAC